rnacentral:rRNA from 1 species
AUUGAACGCUGGCGGCAGGCUUAACACAUGCAAGUCGAGCGGAGAUGAGGUGCUUGCACCUUAUCUUAGCGGCGGACGGGUGAGUAAUGCUUAGGAAUCUGCCUAUUAGUGGGGGACAACAUUCCGAAAGGAAUGCUAAUACCGCAUACGUCCUACGGGAGAAAGCAGGGGAUCUUCGGACCUUGCGCUGAUAGAUGAGCCUAAGUCGGAUUAGCUAGUUGGUGGGGUAAAGGCCUACCAAGGCGACGAUCUGUAGCGGGUCUGAGAGGAUGCUCCGCCACACUGGGACUGAGACACGGCCCAGACUCCUACGGGAGGCAGCAGUGGGGAAUAUUGGACAAUGGGGGGAACCCUGAUCCAGCCAUGCCGCGUGUGUGAAGAAGGCCUUAUGGUUGUAAAGCACUUUAAGCGAGGAGGAGGCUACUGAGACUAAUACUCUUGGAUAGUGGACGUUACUCGCAGAAUAAGCACCGGCUAACUCUGUGCCAGCCGCCGCAGUAACAC